AUUGAACGCUGGCGGCAUGCUUUACACAUGCAAGACGAACGGUAACAGGCCGCAAGGUGCUGACGAGUGGCGAACGGGUGAGUAAUGCAUCGGAACGUGCCCAGUCGUGGGGGAUAACGCAGCGAAAGCUGCGCUAAUACCGCAUACGAUCUAUGGAUGAAAGCGGGGGACCGUAAGGCCUCGCGCGAUUGGAGCGGCCGAUGUCAGAUUAGGUAGUUGGUGGGGUAAAGGCUCACCAAGCCGACGAUCUGUAGCUGGUCUGAGAGGACGACCAGCCACACUGGGACUGAGACACGGCCCAGACUCCUACGGGAGGCAGCAGUGGGGAAUUUUGGACAAUGGGCGCAAGCCUGAUCCAGCAAUGCCGCGUGCAGGAAGAAGGCCUUCGGGUUGUAAACUGCUUUUGUACGGAACGAAACGGUCCUGGUUAAUACCUGGGGCUAAUGACGGUACCGUAAGAAUAAGCACCGGCCAACUACGUGCCAGCCGCCGCGGUAAGAC
rnacentral:rRNA from 1 species